AUGCGGUAUGACGGUACCCUUUCGAAUAAGAGGUUGCUAACUCUGUGCCAGCAGCAGCGGUAAUACAGAGACCUCGAGCGUUAUCCGGAUUUACUGGGCGUAAAGCGUCUGUAGGGGGUUUGUUAAGUUCCAAGUAAAAUCUUAAGGCUCAACUUUAAGUUCGCUUGGAAAACUAAUAAACUGGAGUCCAGCAGAGGUGCAUGGAACUUGCGGUGUAGGAGUGAAAUCCGUUGAUAUCGCAAGGAACACCAAAGGCGAAGGCAUUGCACUGGGCUGGUACUGACCCUGAGAGACGAAAGCGUGGGGAGCAAAACGGAUUAGAUACCCGUGUAGUCCACGCCGUAAACGAUGGAUACUAGAUGUUCGGGGAUUCGACCCCCUGGGUGUCACAGCUAACGCGUUAAGUAUCCCGCCUGGGAAGUACGGCCGCAAGGCUAAAACUCAAAGGAAUAGACGGGGAUCCGCACAAGCGGUGGAGCGUCUGGUUUAAUUUGAUAGUAAGCAAUGGACCUCACCAAGGUUUGACAUCCUAUGACAACCCUGGAAACAGGGCUUCCUUCGGGCAUAGUGACAGGUGCUGCAUGGUCGUCGUCAGUUCGUGCCGUGAGGUGUUCCGUUAAGUCGGGAAACGAACGAAACCCUCGUCGCAUGUUACAAAUUUCAUGCGAGACUGCCCGGGUCAACCGGGAGGAAGGCGGGGAUGACGUCAGAUCAGCAUGGCCCUUAUACCUUGGGCUACACAGGCGCUACAAUGGCCGGUACAAAGGGUUGCAAAACCGCGAGGUGAAGCUAAUCCCAUAAAGCCGGUCCAAGUUCGGAUUGGAGGCUGCAACUCGCCUCCAUGAAGUUGGAUCGCUAGUCUCUGCAUCAGCCAUACCACGGUGAUACGUUCCCGGAUCUGUACUACCGCCCGUCACACCAAGAGAGUUGGUAGCUCCUGAAGC
rnacentral:rRNA from 1 species